rnacentral:rRNA from 1 species
GUGGGGAAUCUUAGACAAUGGGCGCAAGCCUGAUCUAGCCAUGCCGCGUGAGCGAUGAAGGCCUUAGGGUUGUAAAGCUCUUUCAGUGGGGAAGAUAAUGACUGUACCCACAGAAGAAGCCCCGGCUAACUCCGUGCCAGCAGCCGCGGUAAUACGGAGGGGGCUAGCGUUGUUCGGAAUUACUGGGCGUAAAGCGCACGUAGGCGGACUGGAAAGUCAGGGGUGAAAUCCCGGGGCUCAACCCCGGAACUGCCUUUGAAACUCCCAGUCUUGAGGUCGAGAGAGGUGAGUGGAAUUCCGAGUGUAGAGGUGAAAUUCGUAGAUAUUCGGAGGAACACUAGUGGCGAAGGCGGCUCACUGGCUCGAUACUGACGCUGAGGUGCGAAAGCGUGGGGAGCAAACAGGAUUAGAAACCCCAGUAGUCC